rnacentral:rRNA from 1 species
AUUGAACGCUGGCGGCAGGCCUAACACAUGCAAGUCGAGCGGCAGCACGGGAAAGUUUACUUUCUGGGUGGCGAGCGGCGGACGGGUGAGUAAUGCCUGGGGAUCUGCCCAGUCGAGGGGGAUAACUACUGGAAACGGUAGCUAAUACCGCAUACGCCCUACGGGGGGAAGCAGGGGACCGUCGGGCCUUGCGCGAUUGGAUGAACCCAGGUGGGAUUAGCUAGUUGGUGAGGUAAUGGCUCACCAAGGCGACGAUCCCUAGCUGGUCUGAGAGGAUGAUCAGCCACACUGGAACUGAGACACGGUCCAGACUCCUACGGGAGGCAGCAGUGGGGAAUAUCGCACAAUGGGGGAAACCCUGAUGCAGCCAUGCCGCGUGUGUGAAGAAGGCCUUCGGGUUGUAAAGCACUUUCAGCGAGGAGGAAAGGUUGGUAGCUAAUGACUGCCAGCUGUGACGUUACUCGCAGAAGAAGCACCGGCUAACUCCGUGCCAGCAGCCGCCGUAAAAC